rnacentral:rRNA from 1 species
UACGAGGGGGGCAAGCGUUGUUCGGAAUUAUUGGGCGCAAAGGGCGCGUAGGCGGCGCGGUAUGUCUCUUGUGAAAUCUCCAGGCUCAACUUGGAGUCUGCAAGGGAAACUGCCGUGCUUGAGUACUGGAGAGGUGAGUGGAAUUCCCGGUGUAGCGGUGAAAUGCGUAGAUAUCGGGAGGAGCACCUGUGGCGAAAGCGGCUCACUGGACAGUAACUGACGCUGAUGCGCGAAAGCUAGGGGAGCAAACAGG